UUAGGAAUUUUGGGCAAUGGGCGCAAGCCUGACCCAGCAACGCCGCGUGGGUGACGAAGGCCUUCGGGUUGUAAAGCCCUUCUUGAGGGGAAGAUGAUGACGGUACCCUCCGCAGAAGCGCCGGCUAACUACGUGCCAGCAGCCGCGGUAAUACGUAGGGUGCGAGCGUUGUCCGGAAUUAUUGGGCGUAAAGAGCUUGUAGGCGGUUUGUCGCGUCUGCUGUGAAAUUUCGGGGCUCAACCCCGAACUUGCAGUGGGUACGGGCAGACUAGAGUGUGGUAGGGGAGACUGGAAUUCCUGGUGUAGCGGUGAAAUGCGCAGAUAUCAGGAGGAACACCGAUGGCGAAGGCAGGUCUCUGGGACGGUACUGACGCUGAGACGCGAAAGCGUGGGGAGCGAAC
rnacentral:rRNA from 1 species